UUUUAGCGGCGGACGGGUGAGUAACGUGUGGGUAACCUGCCUUUUACUGGGGAAUAAUCACUGGAAACGGUGACUAAUACCGCAUACGGUUCUUGGAAGGCAUCUUCUGAGAAAGAAAGGAUUUAUUCGGUAAAAGAUGGGCCCGCAUCUGAUUAGCUAGUUGGUGAGAUAACAGCCCACCAAGGCGACGAUCAGUAGCCGACCUGAGAGGGUGACCGGCCACAUUGGGACUGAGACACGGCCCAAACUCCUACGGAAGGCAGCAG
rnacentral:rRNA from 1 species